rnacentral:rRNA from 1 species
UACGUAGGGCGCAAGCGUUGUCCGGAAUUACUGGGCGUAAAGGGCUCGUAGGCGGCCAACUAAGUCAAACGUGAAAUCCCUCGGCUUAACCGGGGAACUGCGUCUGAUACUGGAUGGCUUGAGUUUGGGAGAGGGAUGCGGAAUUCCAGGUGUAGCGGUGAAAUGCGUAGAUAUCUGGAGGAACACCGGUGGCGAAGGCGGCAUCCUGGACCAACACUGACGCUGAGGAGCGAAAGCCAGGGGAGCAAACGGG